UACGGGGGGGGCAAGCGUUGUUCGGAAUUACUGGGCGUAAAGGGCUCGUAGGCGGCCAACUAAGUCGGACGUGAAAUCCCCAGCUCAACCUGGGAACUGCGUCCGAUACUGGAUGGCUUGAAUUCGGGAGAGGGAUGCAGAAUUCCAGGUGUAGCGGUGAAAUGCGUAGAUAUCUGGAGGAAUACCGGUGGCGAAGGCGGCAUCCUGGACCGACAUUGACGCUGAUGAGCGAAAGCUAGGGGAGCAAACGGG
rnacentral:rRNA from 1 species